GCAAGGAUUUGAAACUUUAGCAUAGGCCCAUUGGGAUGUAGGAACAAAAAUUAAACAGCCCGAGAUAGGAUCCUUUUUACCCAUUCCAACACUGAUUACAUGGCCUCCAGCUGGAAUGUGGAGCAUGUACCUCAGAGCACGUGCGGAAACAGCUGGAAUUUAUCAAUGGACCCCAUAUUAACCCAUUGGUUCCAGGAGGUGGGAUUUCCUGAUCCCCAAACACUAAUUUUUGCACGUUUUUUGGUCUCUCCUUUCUGACUUUUGGGGAAGUGGGGAGCUUGUGGAGGCAAACAGGCCCCGUGGAGCAGCAGCACAUCGCUCCUCCAUUAGCUUCACAUAGUGCACCGAUUUCCCCAGAGAGAAAGUAAAACAUGCUCUGGAAGGCCAUUUGUUUACUGUUCCUUGCAGGUAUGCUGAGGUCUCUGUGUUCCUGCCCCACGCUGUACCUUUGCCUGUGGCCUCUGGAAAAUAAGGCCCGAAGCAACACUGACCUUCCUCACACCCUCCCUGAACGGAUUCACUAGGCGUGAGGAUGUUGGACCCGAGAGGCAACACCUCCCCACUCAGGAGGGGUGCUGGCAGCCCCGGAGCCAAGUCUGCUGGACCCCCAAGGGAGAGUCACGAGAGGCGCUGGUGCCUGGGCUGGUGGUGGGGUGCCAGGACACUCUGAAAGCAGUAGGCAACUUCUCACCGGCUUUCAGGAUUGGCUUAAUGCUUCUCUGGUCCCCGUCUUCAGAGCUGCUCGGAGCUCACCCCCCAGGAGCCUGCCAGGAGCGAGAGGAACUGAACUUCAGCGAGGCGGAAGGCGAUCCCCACUCUGCCCAGGUGCUGCUUCCCCCGGGGCUCGGGGCUUGGCAGGCGCAGCACCCCAGUCUGCGCAGCCGAGGUGAGCCUGUGAGGCAGGAAGGCCCCCUCGUCCACUGCCAGGCCCGGGUCGCCCCCAGGCAACGUAGCUCCUGCUGCCUGCUCAAGCUCUUCUGCCUCUCAGGCCAGCGAAACUUCCCUGCAGAGAUCACCACGUGCUACCCAGGAUGGUGACAGAUCCCAAAGAUGAAUUUCAUUGUGUUGAACAUGGCCCAUUGCAUUUAAAAUGAGAGCCAAGAAGAAACCACCCCUCACUGAUGCUCAUUCUGGUGCCUCUGGGACCCUAUUUGGAAGCUCCCGUGUGUCUUCAUGAAAGCCAACUUUGCAGCCAAGAGAGCCCUGACCUGGGUCCCUUUUCCGCAGGACACAGCCAGUCAGGAUGGUGGCCCUCGCCAGACCCCGGUUCCCCACUGCGUGCAGGUAUCUGGGCAGGACCCAGAUUCCUUCGUGACCUCUGGGGGCGACCUUACAGAUGUUCCCCCAUCACGGCCGACGGUGUGCACCGCCAUCUGGCCGCUUCCUUCUGGAAACGUUGGUUUGGGCGGCGCAUGUCCUCC